GACGAACGCUGGCGGCGUGCCUAAUACAUGCAAGUCGAACGGUCUUUUCUAUGGAAGCUUGCUUCCACUGAGAAGAUAGUGGCGAACGGGUGAGUAACACGUGGGUAACCUGCCCAUAAGAGGGGGAUAACAUCCGGAAACGGGUGCUAAUACCGCAUAGUUUUCUUGAUCGCAUGAUCGAGAAAGGAAAGACGGCCUUUGUGCUGUCGGUUAUGGAUGGACCCGCGGCGUAUUAGUUAGUUGGUGAGGUAACGGCUCACCAAGACGAUGAUACGUAGCCGACCUGAGAGGGUGAUCGGCCAGAUUGGGACUGAGACACGGCCCAAACUCCUACGGGAGGCAGCAGUAGGUAAUCUUCCGCAAUGGACGAAAGUCUGACGGAGCAACGCCGCGUGUGUGAAGAAGGUUUUCGGAUCGUAAAACUCUGUUGUCAGAGAAGAACAAGUCGGAGAGUAACUGCUCCGGCCUUGACGGUAUCUGACCAGAAAGCCACGGCUAACUACGUGCCAGCCGCCGCGGUAAUAC
rnacentral:rRNA from 1 species